rnacentral:tRNA from 1 species
GGCUUCGUGGUAUAGUGGUCAGCACGCUGGGUGCGUAUUCCAGAGGUCCGUGGUUCGAGUCCCGGCGAAGGCG